UGAUGCGCUGCUUCUGGUCUCAAUUCAUUGGCCAAAACAACUCAUAUGACCACAUCCAAUUUCAAGGAGGGAGGAGUAGGAGCCUACCACAGGCUUGGAAAGAGAACCACAGACAUUCAAAGAGCAGCACUGUUGACUACUGCAGCAUCAUUUAUGGAAUCCUACUAUAUGCAAGCUAAGAAUAUCAUCUCAGAGUAUUCUGGCACCUUUCUGUUUUCCAGCUAGUGAAGCGGAGUGGUUGAGAAACCCACUUGAGAUCACACAUCUGAUAAGAGGUAGAGCCAGGAUUCAAGUAGAGGCAGGACCCCAGAGAUGAUGUGCUCCAGGCUGGUCAUGCUUGUCCCCUACCUCCACAGAGAGAGGACAGAGAGAAUUCACAGCUGACCUCGAUUUUGUGCAAGGAGGGCAUUUGGACUCAGAACAUUCACUGCCUCAGGGGACAGACGACCCACCAGAAGUUAGAAGUUGGUUCUUGUCUUCUGAGUGUCAAACACUGAUGCCUGUGUAUGUGUGGGAGCGGGGGUGGUGGUGAAAGAACAAAAUAUUUGGAAGAUGCAGGAUGCUCCAAGUCCCCAGACCAGACGAUGCUUCCUCGGCUGAGGGAAGGUUUGGAGGAUCUGGGAACAGAGAGGACCUCCCCGUCCCCAGGCUAGAGGCUGAGGAGUUGGAAAAGACUCCAGUCUAUUCCCAGAGCAAGUGUAGCAUUGACUGCCUGGAGACUCAGAGCACAGUCCUAGGGCAGCCUUGA
rnacentral:lncRNA from 1 species